rnacentral:rRNA from 1 species
UACGUAGGGUGCAAGCGUUGUCCGGAAUUAUUGGGCGUAAAGAGCUCGUAGGCGGUCUGUCGCGUCGGCUGUGAAAACCCGGAGCUCAACUCCGGGCCUGCAGUCGAUACGGGCAGACUGGAGUUCGGCAGGGGAGACUGGAAUUCCUGGUGUAGCGGUGAAAUGCGUAGAUAUCGGAAGGAACACCAGUGGCGAAAGCGGCUUCCUGGUCCAGCACCGACGUUCAGGCACGAAAGCGUGGGGAGCAAACAGG